CGUUCCCUCUCUCGUUCCCUCUCAUUCCUUCUCUCUCUCUCUCUACUACCCCUCCUCUCUCUUUCUCUCAACCCCACUCCUCAUCUCUCUCUCUUUCUCUCUGCUAGCCCCUUCCUCCAUCUCUCCGGAACCUUCCUGUCCUCUUUCCCCUAUCUCUGCUUCCACCCCCAAACCCUUACCACAUCCCCUUCUCACACACACUCAACUGCACACUUCACAAUCACACACACCUCACACACAGGACUACCAUUCCCAGACCAGUCACCAUGGCCGACAAGAAGGGCGCUGCUGCCAGCAGCAAACUGUUGGUGAGGAAGAAAGAGAGGACGACAAAGACAGCGGUGACUGUGGAGGUCAAGAAAGAGGUCAAGAAAGAGGUGAAGACGGAGAUGAAGAUGGAGAUGAAGAGGGAGGUGAAGAGGGAGGUGAAGUCGAGUUUAGUGAAGAAGGAGGAGAAGGUCCUGGCAGUGGGGGAGAAAGUGGAGGGGAACGGAGAUGUCCCAAUGGAAGAGGGAGCCACAGCUAACGAAGACGUGGCUAACGGGGAAGCGGCGGCGGCUAAAGCUAACGGAGCAAAUGGGGAGUACGAACCCAUUGAGCUGCCCCCCUGGGAGAUCAUCGAAGGGGACCGCAUCGACCCGUUCCAAUUCAAGUUCCAGUUCAAGAACGUGGAGUACUCGUCAGGUCGUAACAAGACGUUCCUGUGUUACCUGGUGGACAAAGGGAAGGCUGAUGCCGGUCUGCUGAGAGGUUACCUGGAGGAUGAACACUCAGGAGCCCACGCUGAGCAGGCCUUCUUCCUCCAGACUCUCCCAGACUACGACCCUGCUGUCAAAUACACUAUCACCUGGUACAUGUCAUCCAGUCCCUGUGCGGUCUGUGCAGCUAAGAUCGCAGAGGCCCUUCAGGCCAGGAAGAGCAUCAAGAUGACUCUCUUCUCAGCCCGGCUGUUUGAGUGGGAGGAUCAAGACAUCCAGGCGGGGCUGAAUGCUCUGUCUCAAGCAGGGUGCAAGCUGAGGAUGAUGAAACCCAUGGACUUCACCUAUGUCUGGGACACUUUUGUGGAGAAUGACGACCUAACGUUCACCCCCUGGGAGGACUGCCAGGACAACUACGAGUACUACCACGAGAAACUGGCAGACAUCAUGCAGUGACUACACUGUCUUGAAAGCACCAUGACCAUCAGACCAGGUACCAUCAGACCAGGAAUGUUGUCAGCCCAGAAUUAUCCCAUCACCUGCCACCUCCACUAUCUAAGGACCUCAGUGAUGUGCACAGGACUCAACCAAUCAGAGGGCAGUUUGUGUGCUUGUGCGUCAAGCCGUCCUGCUGUGUUUGUUUGCCUUUAUGAAGCCAGUUCCAGACCACCUCCUCCACAUGGAACUCUCUGUCCCAGCUUCCACUCUCUAUUCUGGGGUUGUCCUCACAAGACACAUGGAUCUGUGGAUCAAUCCUCAACUUCAAGAUAACAGCUUUGCAAUUAUGUACUAUUGGUUAUAAUUCAAGUAUAAAAAGUUAUUUUAUUACAAUUUAAGUUAUAAUUCAUCCUUCUCCUUCUGUCCUGAAAGGACGUUUCAUAACUGCACCAAUGUUGCCUCUGUCAUCCAGAGGACUAGAAUGAUAUUCUAUGCAUGAAUAUUCAUAUAGAUAUUGUUAAUGACAAUACCCCAAACAGUUAAGUUCUAGAGAAUUAACAGAUAUGUUUGUUAUUGUUAUUAGGAGUAAUUCAACAUUUGUGAGUUAUGAGAUACGUUCAAUAUCUUUUACACAUUUUAAUGUAGCAAAAAAACAAACAUGAAUGUUACUUGGUGUUCGUUUUAAAUAGUGAUUGAAUGAUCCAACAUUUCUUACAGAAAGAAUGAAUAGAGAUUGUAGCGUCGCAUGAGCACACGAUUUCAACUUCAAGAUUAUAUCGAUCUGCCUGUAGAAAUUUAAGCAAAGUACAUUAUUUAUACACAGUGAAAAUAAAGAAGUGUGGAGUUUUAAAA